UAAAAGCCAACUAAGAGAGAGGACGGAGGGAUAUAUUCCACUAAAAGCCAACUAAGAGAGAGGACGGAGGGAUGUAUUCCACUAAAAGCCAACAAAGAGAGAGGACGGAGGGAUAUAUUCCACUAAAAGCCAACAAAGAAGCCGCCUUCCAAAGCGCUCACACAAUGGGAAGGCAUCAACGGCCUGCAGUAGCGCGCCUCCGCCAGCAGAUGUCGCCAAAGAGCGCCGCCGCGUUGGCGGGGAUCAAUCGGCCGCUCGGAGCGGGGAGCAUCAUGGAGGAGGAAGCGGAACGAGGCUGCCUUCAACCAGACGCGACUGAUACAUUUUUUUGUCACCGUCUAACGGCGCCCGCCCGGCGGGGAGCGAGACCCCAGACGACGGCCGAGCACACGGGGGGAUUCCGCGGUCUUCGCCCGUCGCGUCGGUGCCGUCCGUGGGCUCGGCCGCGCCGCGGAUGGCGCUCUUUUUUUGUGACAUUAGUAAUAAUGGCGGAUAUGAAUUAGCCUAGCUCCCAGGAUGUGACCCGACAUAUGUAACCGGACAAAAACUACACACGGGCUUCUUCGCCAGGUAUUUCUCCCACAGCCCGAGUGGAAGCCUCGAUAUAAGCCGCUCUCCCGCCGACCUACUCGGACGUUUUGUGCUCACCCUGGUUCCCCGAAGUUCCCGGAGUGUGCUGGUGGGCAUUGGGCUUGUAGGACAUUCCGAGAGACAUUGUAAAGCAAAGAAAUAAAAAUGACCCGACAUUCAGCGAGGCGUCUUGUCUCCCACUUUUUCUUGUUUACGGCGGCGGCGCCGGCAAACAUGGCCGUCACUGGAUGUUGACACCCCGCCAGCCGAGCAUCCCCAGCCCGCCUAACACACACUUUGUGCGGCCAAAAGUGGCAUCUUUGACACGCUCUUUUCAGCCCACUUGGAGCACAUUUUGGACAAGUUUGGCUGCGCUUCUGCGCCACAUUUUAAGUCACUUUGGACACAUUUUAAGUCACUUUGGACACGUCUUCAGGACAGGGAUAACAAUAUUAAAAACACUUAUAUACUUUUUGUUAAUUGAAUUAAGGAUGUAUGUCCUUUCCUCUUUUCUAUUAUGUAUAUAUGUGUGUAUGAAUAGUUUCGUUCUAUUUUGCUUUUAUUUUGCUGUUUCUACACUUCUGCGACAGCCAAUAGUCUACAUCCCAUGUCUUAUAAAGGUGAGUUAUUUUGGUUUUAUUUUGUCGUCUUUACAAUUUUUUGACAACUAAGACUGCUGAGCCUCCACACUGCAUCAUCAAAAGGUGAGUAGUUUGGGCUUAUUUUGUUGUUUUUCACCUAUUUGACAGCAAAUAACGUUAAGUGAAUGUGGUUUUUGUUUUGUUGUCUUUACACUUUUAUGACGGUCAAAAGUCUACAUCCCAUGUCUUAUAAAGGUGAGUCAUUUUGGUUUUAUUUUGUUGUCUUUACAAUUUUUUGACAAGACUGCUGAGCCUCCACACUGCAUCAUCAAAAGGGGAGUAGUUUGGGCUUAUUUUGUUGUUGUUUUUCACUUAUUUAACAGCAAAUAACGUUAAGUGAAUGUGGUUUUUGUUUUGUUGUCUUUACACUUUUAUGACAGCCAAUAGUCUACAUCCCACGUCUUAUAAAGGUGAGUCAUUUUGGUUUUAUUUUGUUGUCUUUACAAUUUUUUGACAACUAAGACUGCUGAGCCUCCACACUGCAUCAUCAAAAGGUGAGUAGUUUGGGCUUAUUUUGUUGUUGUUUUUCACCUAUUUGACAGCAAAUAACGUUAAGUGAAUGUGGUUUUUGUUUUGUUGUCUUUACACUUUUAUGACAGUCAAUAGUCUACAUCCCAUGUCUUAUAAAGGUGAGUCAUUUUGGUUUUAUUUUGUUGUCUUUACAAUUUUUUGACAACUAAGACUGCUGAGCCUCCACACUGGAUCAUCAAAAGGUGAGUAGUUUGGGCUUAUUUUGUUGUUGUUUUUCACUUAUUUGACAGCAAAUAACGUUAAGUGAAUGUGGUUUUUGUUUUGUUGUCUUUACACUUUUAUGAUAGUCAAUAGUCUACAUCCCAUGUCUUAUAAAGGUGAGUCAUUUUGGUUUUAUUUUGUUGUCUUUACAAUUUUUUGACAACUAACACUGCUGAGCCUCCACACUGCAUCAUCAAAAGGUGAGUAGUUUGGGCUUAUUUUGUUGUUUUUCACCUAUUUGACAGCAAAUAACGUUAAGUGAAUGUGGUUUUUGUUUUGUUGUCUUUACACUUUUAUGACGGUCAAAAGUCUACAUCCCAUGUCUUAUAAAGGUGAGUCAUUUUGGUUUUAUUUUGUUGUCUUUACAAUUUUUUGACAAGACUGCUGAGCCUCCACACUGCAUCAUCAAAAGGUGAGUAGUUUGGGCUUAUUUUGUUGUUGUUUUUCCACUUAUUUGACAGCAAAUAACGUUAAGUAAGUGUGGGGUUUUUUUUGUUGUCUUUACACUUUUAUGACAGCCAAUAGUCUACAUCCCAUGUCUUAUAAAGGUGAGUCAUUUUGGUUUUAUUUUGUUGUCUUUACAAUUUUUUGACAACUAAGACUGCUUAGCCUCCACACUGCAUCAUCAAAAGGGGAGUAGUUUGGGCUUAUUUUGUUGUUGUUUUUCACUUAUUUAACAGCAAAUAACGUUAAGUGAAUGUGGUUUUUGUUUUGUUGUCUUUACACUUUUAUGACAGCCAAUAGUCUACAUCCACGUCUUAUAAAGGUGAGUCAUUUUGGUUUUAUUUUGUUGUCUUUACAAUUUUUUUGACAACUAAGACUGCUGAGCCUCCACACUGCAUCAUCAAAAGGUGAGUAGUUUGGACUUAUUUUGUUGUUGUUUUUCACCUAUUUGACAGCAAAUAACAUUAAGUGAAUGUGGUUUUUGUUUUGUUGUCUUUACACUUUUAUGACAGUCAAUAGUCUACAUCCCAUGUCUUAUAAAGGUGAGUCAUUUUGGUUUUAUUUUGUUGUCUUUACAAUUUUUUGACAACUAAGACUGCUGAGCUUCCACACUGCAUCAUCAAAAGGUGAGUAGUUUGGGCUUAUUUUGUUGUUGUUUUUCACUUAUUUGACAGCAAAUAACGUUAAGUGAAUGUGGUUUUUGUUUUGUUGUCUUUACACUUUUAUGAUAGUCAAUAGUCUACAUCCCAUGUCUUAUAAAGGUGAGUCAUUUUGGUUUUAUUUUGUUGUCUUUACAAUUUUUUGACAACUAACACUGCUGAGCCUCCACACUGCAUCAUCAAAAGGUGAGUAGUUUGGGCUUAUUUUGUUGUUGUUUUUCACUUAUUUGACAGCAAAUAAUGUUAAGUGAAUGUGGUUUUUGUUUUGUUGUCUUUACACUUUUAUGACAGCCAAUAGUCUACAUCCCAUGUCUUAUAAAGGUGAGUCAUUUUGGUUUUAUUUUGUUGUCUUUACAAUUUUUUGACAACUAAGACUGCUGAGCCUCCACACUGCAUCAUCAAAAGGUGAGUAGUUUGGCCUUAUUUUGUUGUUGUUUUUUCACUUAUUUGACACCAAAUAACGUUAAGUGAGCCCAAUUGUAGCUGAGAUAGGCGCCCGCGACCCCAAAAAAGGGAAUACGCGGUAGAAAAUGGAUGGAUGGAGUGUGGUUUUUAUUUUGUUGUCUUUACACUUUUAUGACUGACAAUAACGCAGUCUACAUCCCACGUCUUAUAAAGGAGAGUAUUUUUGGUUUUCUUUUGUUGUCUUUACACUUUUUUGACAACUAAGACUGCUGAGCCUCCACACUGCAUCCUCAAAAGGUGAGUAGUUUGGGCUUAUUUUGUUUUUUCCACUUAUUUGACAGCAAAUAGCGUUACGUGAGUGUGGUUUUAUCUUUAUUUUGUUUUCUUUACACUUUUAUGACAGCCAAUAAUGCUGAGUCUACGUCCCACGUCAUAUAAAGGUGAGUCAUUUUGGUUUUAUUUUGUUGUCUUUACAAUUUUAUGACAACUAACACUGCUGAGCCUCCACACUGCAUCAUCAAAAGGUGAGUAGUUUGGGCUUAUUUUGUGUUUUUUUUCCACUCAUUUGACAGCUAUUAACAUUAGGUUUUCAUUUAAUGUCUUUGAAAGGUGUGUGGUUUUAUUUUGUUGUCUUUACACUUUUAUGACAGCCAAUAACGCUGAGUCCACGUCCCAUGUCCUAUAAAGGAGAGUAUUUUUGGUUUUGUUUUGUUGUCUUUACAAUUUUAUGACUGUUAAGACUGCUGAGCUUCCACACUGCAUCAUCAAAAGGUGAGUAGUUUGGUUGCAUUUUGGGUUUAUUCUGUUAUUUUACACUUAUUUGACAGCAAAUAACUUUACUUGAGUGUGGUUUUAUUUAGUUGUUUUUACACUUUUAUGACAGCCAAUAACACUGAGCCUACAUCCUACGUCUUAUAAAGGUGAGUAAUUUUUGUUUUAUUUUGUUGUCUUUACAAUUUUAUGACAGUUAAGACUGCUGACCCUCCACACUGCAUCAUCAAAUGGUGAGUAGUUUGUUUUCUUUACACUUUUAUGACAGUCAAUAACGCUGAGUUUACAUCCCACGUCUUAUAAAGGUGAGUCAUUUUGGUUUGGUUUUGUUGUCUUAACAAUUUUAUGACAACUAACACCACUGAGCCUCCACACCAAAUGGUGAGUAGUUUGGGCUUAUUUUGUUGUUUUUUCACUUAUUUGACAGCAAAGAACGUUAAGUGAGUGUGUUUUUUAUUUUGUUGUCUUUACACUUUUAUGACAGCCAAUAACGCAGAGUCUAAAUCCCACAUCUUAUAAAGGUGAGUAAUUUUGGUUUUAUUUUGUUGCCUUUACACUUUUAUGCUGAGCCUCCACACUGCGCCAUCAAAAGGUGAGUAGUUUGGUUGUAUUUUGGGUGUAUUUUGUUGUUUUUAUACCUGGACAGCAAAUCUUUAAACAUCUUUGAAAGGUGAGUGGUUAUAUUUUGUUGUCUUUACACUUUUAUGACAGCAAAUAACGCUGAGUCUACAUCCCAUGUCUUGUAAAGAGGAGUCAUUUUUGGUUUUAUUUUGUUGCUUUUACAUAUUUAUGACAGCUAAGACUGCUGAGCUUCCACACUGUCAUCAAAAUGUGAGUAGUUUGGUUGUUUUGGUUUUAUUUUGUUGUUUUUACACUUAUUUGAAAGCAAAUAACGCUAAGUCUACAUCCCACAUCUUAUAAAGGUGAGUAAUUUUGGUUUUAUUUUGUUGCCUUUACACUUUUAUGCUGAGCCUCCACACUGCGCCAUCAAAAGGUGAGUAGUUUGGUUGUAUUUUGGGUUUAUUUUGUUGUUUUUAUACUUAGACAGCAAAUCUUUAAACAUCUUUGAAAGGUGAGUGGUUAUAUUUUGUUGUCUUUACACUUUUAUGACUGCAAAUAACGCUGAGUCCACAUCCCAUGUCUUGUAAAGGGGAGUCAUUUUUGGUUUUAUUUUGUUGCUUUUACAUUUUUAUGACAGCUAAGACUGCUGAGCUUCCACACUGUCAUCAAAAUGCGAGUAGUUUGGUUGUUUUGGUUUUAUUUUGUUGUUUUUACACUUAUUUGAAAGCAAAUAACGCUAAGUCUACAUCCCACAUCUUAUAAAGAUGAGUAAUUUUGGUUUUAUUUUUUUGUCUACACUUUUAUGCUGAGCCUCCACACUGCGCCAUCAAUAGGUGAGUAGUUUGGUUGCAUUUUGGGCUUAUUUUGUUGUUUUUACACUUAUUUGACAGCGAAUAACGUUACAUUUUUAACGUCUUUGAAAGAUGAGUAUGGUUUUAUUUUGUUGUCUUUACACUUUUAUGACAGUUAAGACUGCUGAGCCUCCACACUGCAUCAUCAAAAGGUGAGUAGUUUGGUUGCAUUUUGGGCUUAUUUUGUUGUUUUUACACUUAUUUGACAGCGAAUAACGUUACAUUUUUAACGUCUUUGAAAGAUGAGUAUGGUUUUAUUUUGUUGUCUUUACACUUUUAUGACAGUUAAGACUGCUGAGCCUCCACACUGCAUCAUCAAAAGGUGAGUAGUUUGGUUGCAUUUUGGGUGUAUUUUGUUGUUUUUAUACUUGGACAGCAAAUCUUUAAACAUCUUUGAAAGGUGAGUGGUUAUAUUUUGUUGUCUUUACACUUUUAUGACAGCAAAUAACGCUGAGUCUACAUCUCAUGUCUUGUAAAGAGGAGUCAUUUUUGGUUUUAUUUUGUUGCUUUUACAUAUUUAUGACAGCUAAGACUGCUGAGCUUCCACACUGUCAUCAAAAUGUGAGUAGUUUGGUUGUUUUGGUUUUAUUUUGUUGUUUUUACACUUAUUUGAAAGCAAAUAACGCUAAGUCUACAUCCCACAUCUUAUAAAGGUGAGUAAUUUUGGUUUUAUUUUGUUGCCUUUACACUUUUAUGCUGAGCCUCCACACUGCGCCAUCAAAAGGUGAGUAGUUUGGUUGUAUUUUGGGUUUAUUUUGUUGUUUUUAUACUUAGACAGCAAAUCUUUAAACAUCUUUGAAAGGUGAGUGGUUAUAUUUUGUUGUCUUUACACUUUUAUGACUGCAAAUAACGCUGAGUCCACAUCCCAUGUCUUGUAAAGGGGAGUCAUUUUUGGUUUUAUUUUGUUGCUUUUACAUUUUUAUGACAGCUAAGACUGCUGAGCUUCCACACUGUCAUCAAAAUGCGAGUAGUUUGGUUGUUUUGGUUUUAUUUUGUUGUUUUUACACUUAUUUGAAAGCAAAUAACGCUAAGUCUACAUCCCACAUCUUAUAAAGAUGAGUAAUUUUGGUUUUAUUUUUUUGUCUACACUUUUAUGCUGAGCCUCCACACUGCGCCAUCAAUAGGUGAGUAGUUUGGUUGCAUUUUGGGCUUAUUUUGUUGUUUUUACACUUAUUUGACAGCGAAUAACGUUACAUUUUUAACGUCUUUGAAAGAUGAGUAUGGUUUUAUUUUGUUGUCUUUACACUUUUAUGACAGUUAAGACUGCUGAGCCUCCACACUGCAUCAUCAAAAGGUGAGUAGUUUGGUUGCUUUUUGGGCUUAUUUUGUUGUUUUUACACUUAUUUGACAGCGAAUAACGUUACAUUUUUAACGUCUUUGAAAGAUGAGUAUGGUUUUAUUUUGUUGUCUUUACACUUUUAUGACAGUUAAGACUGCUGAGCCUCCACACUGCAUCAUCAAAAGUUAAGAAAGACUGCUGAGCCUCCACACUGCAUCAUCAAAAGGUGAGUAGUUUGGUUGCAUUUUGGGCUUAUUUUGUUGUUUUUACACUUAUUUGACAGCAAAUAACGUUACAUUUUUAACGUCUUUGAAAGAUGAGUAUGGUUUUAUUUUGUUGUCUUUACACUUUUAUGACAGCCAAGAACGCAAAGUCUACAUCCCACAUCUUAUAAAGGUGAGUAAUUUUGGUUUUAUUUUGUUGCCUUUACACUUUUAUGCUGAGCCUCCACACUGCGCCAUCAAAAGGUGAGUAGUUUGGUUGUAUUUUGGGUUUGUUUUGUUGUUUUUAUACUUAGACAGCAAAUCUUUAAACAUCUUUGAAAGGUGAGUGGUUAUAUUUUUUUGUCUUUACACUUUUAUGACAGCAAAUAACGCUGAGUCUACAUCCCAUGUCUUGUAAAGGGGAGUCAUUUUUGGUUUUAUUUUGUUGCUUUUACAUUUUUAUGACAGCUAAGACUGCUGAGCUUCCACACUGUCAUCAAAAUAUGACUAGUUUGGUUGUUUUGGUUUUAUUUUGUUGUUUUUACACUUAUUUGAAAGCAAAUAACUCUUAAGUCUACAUCCCACAUCUUAUAAAGGUGAGUCAUUUUGGUUUUAUUUUGUUGCCUUUACACUUUUAUGCUGAGCCUCCACACUGCGCCAUCAAAAGGUGAGUAGUUUGGGUGUAUUUUGUUGUUUUUAUACUUAGACAGCAAAUCUUUAAACAUCUUUGAAAGGUGAGUGGUUAUAUUUUGUUGUCUUUACACUUUUAUGACAGCAAAUAACGCUGAGUCCACAUCCCAUGUCUUGUAAAGGGGAGUCAUUUUUGGUUUUAUUUUGUUGCUUUUACAUUUUUAUGACAGCUAAGACUGCUGAGCUUCCACACUGUCAUCAGAAUGCGAGUAGUUUGGUUGUUUUGGUUUUAUUUUGUUGUUUUUACACUUAUUUGAAAGCAAAUAACGCUAAGUCUACAUCCCACAUCUUGUAAAGGUGAGUAAUUUUGGUUUUAUUUUGUUGGCUUUACACUUUUAUGCUGAGCCUCCACACUGCGCCAUCAAUAGGUGAGUAGUUUGGUUUUAUUUUGGGUUUAUUUUGUUGUUUUUAUACUUAGACAGCAAAUCUUCUUUAAACAUCUUUGAAAGGUAAGUGGUUAUAUUUUGUUGUCUUUACACUUUUAUGACAGCAAAUAACGCUGAGUCUACCUCCCACAUCUUAUAAAGGUGAGUAAUUUUGGUUUUAUUUUGUUGCCUUUACACUUUUAUGCUGAGCCUCCACACUGCGCCAUCAAAAGGUGAGUAGUUUGGUUGUAUUUUGUUGUUUUUAUACUUAGACAGCAAAUCUUUAAACAUCUUUGAAAGGUGAGUGGUUAUAUUUUGUUGUCUUUACACUUUUAUGACAGCAAAUAACGCUGAGUCUACAUCCCACAUCUUAUAAAGGUGAGUAAUUUUGGUUUUAUUUUGUUGCCUUUACACUUUUAUGCUGAGCCUCCAAACUGCGCCAUCAAAAGGUGAGUAGCUUGGUGGUAUUUUGUUGUUUUUAUACUUAGACAGCAAAUCUUUAAACAUCUUUGAAAGGUGAGUGGUUAUAUUUUGUUGUCUUUAUACUUUUAUGACAGCAAAUAACGCUGAGUCUACAUCCCACAUCUUAUAAAGGUGAGUAAUUUUGGUUUUAUUUUGUUGCCUUUACACUUUUAUGCUGAGCCUCCAAACUGCGCCAUCAAAAGGUGAGUAUUUUGGGUGUAUUUUGUUGUUUUUAUACUUAGACAGCAAAUCUUUAAACAUCUUUGAAAGGUGAGUGGUUAUAUUUUGUUGUCUUUACACUUUUAUGACAGCAAAUAACGCUGAGUCCACAUCCCAUGUCUUGUAAAGCGGAGUCAUUUUUGGUUUUACUUGGUUGCUUUUACAUUUUUAUGACAACUAAGACUGCUGAGCUUCCACACUGUCAUCAAAAUGUGAGUACUUUGGUUGUUUUGGUUUUAUUUUUACACUUAUUUGAAAGCAAAUAACGCUAAGUCUUCAUUUUACGUCUUUGAACGGUGAGUGUGGUUUUGUUUUGUUGUCUUUACACUUAUUACAUACAGCUAAGAAUGUGAAGUCUACAUCCCAUGUCAUCCGUAAAGUGAGUAAUUUGGUUUUAUUUUGUCGUCAUUACACUUAAUUGACAGUAAAAAAACGUUAUGUCUUCAUUUAUUGUCUUUGAAAUGUUUUUUUUUUGUUGUCCACACUUUUAUGAUAGCAACAAGCGUCAAGUCUACAUCCUAUGUCGUCGUACGGUCAGCAGUUUUGGCUUUGUGUAGUAGUUUUACCUUGCACUUUCAGAUGUGGCGACCAGUUGUAGUUACUGACAGUGGUUUUCUGAAGUGUUCCUGAGCCCAUGUGGUGAUAUCCUUUACACACUGAUGUCCCUUUUUGAUGCAGUACCGCCUGAGUGAUGGUAGGUUGCGUAACAUCAUGGCUUACGUGCAUUGAUUUCUCCAGAUUCUCUGAACCUUUUGAUGAUAUUACGGCGCGGGGAUGGUGGAAUCCCUAAAUUCCUUGCAAUAGCUGCUCGAGAAAUGUUGUCCUUAAAGAAUUUACUGACAAAGUGGCGACCUUCGCCCCGUCCUUGUUUGUGAAUGAGUGAACAUUUCAUGCAAGCUGCUUUUAUACCCAAUCAUGGCGCACACCUGUGGGAGGUUCCAAAUAAGUGUUUGAUGAGCAUCCCUCAACUUUCUCACUCUUUUUUGCCACUUGUGCCAGCUUGUUUGAAGCAUGUUGCAGUUAUCAAAUUCCAAAUGAGCUAAUAUUUGCCAAACAAAUAAAGUUUUCCAGUUCAAACACGAAA